AACGCAGGCGAACGAGUUUACGGAGG
rnacentral:sRNA from 1 species